rnacentral:lncRNA from 1 species
UAUGUCUACAUAGUACUAGAGCCGAUUUACGCAAUCGAAUACCGCCGGAAGUAGAACAUUUAUGUCAACACCGGUUUCGUAUUUUCACGUGAAAACGGCCCAAAACUGAGAGGUUAUCAACAAAUUAUAAGUUUACGGGUACCAUGAGGAUUUUUCAUGCAUUUAAACGACAGAAGUACAAGCGAACAGAUGACACAUUAAAGUGGCUGCAGAAGCUUGAAAAGUUCGAUAGAGCAGGGGCAGUCAAAACAGUGGGAUAAUACUUUUAUGGUGUCCAACAUAUCUAGUCAGGUUGACAGAAGUGAAAGAUGGUCUGAUGGUACAAUGAUAUACAAAUGAUACUCUUUAACAAGUUUAACAUGUCAAGGUGUAAAAUGUUCUGUAGAUUCAUUUGAUGAGAAUGCCAGUGUUGAUCUGUAUGACUAUCUACUUUCCAGAUUUUAUUAAUUAAACACAGAUAUUGAUACCUUCAGAUAUUUACCUGUGAAAUCUUCAGUAUCACCGUUCAGCUAUUGUUCAAGAUCAGUGUCUGCAGCCUGCACAGUUUAGUAUAGAGGAGCCUUCUGAAUCAAUUUUGUUACAUAUUUGCUGUUAUUGUAGGACACACACAUAGAGAGCAACAAGUCCUAUCCAGCCGUGCAUGUAAAUGUGAUUCAGAAACUUUGAGAACAUGUAAACAUUACACUGUUAUAAUUUUCAAAAUACUGUGUCUUGUAGUGUAUCAGUACUGUUUUGUCUCAGUUUAUAGCACAGCAUGUUUAAGAUCAUAGUGAUCAGCAUUAUUAAAAUCAUUAAUUAUUUGUAUGGUGACAAAAUUUAAUUUCAUGCAAUACCACAGUAAAACGUUUGAUAAUUUUCGCUUUUAAAGUUGUAAGUUUAAAGUUGGCAUAAAUUGUUUUUCUCCUUCAUAAAUCUAAAACGUGAUUGGUCAUUAUAAUUGCAAUAUCAUUUUAGUAUGACAAAGUUUAUAUUGAACCAAAACACUAAUGUAAAUUUUUUGAACUAGUCAGUGCAUUUUCUUCGGUCUUAAAACAUUUGUUUAUCGUACGUGUCAUAGCCCAUAACUCCUCCAUAUUACUUGUGUUUUGUUCUUUUUCGUUUCACUGAAGAAUAAGUAGAGGUAUUGCACAUCCAUUUUCUAGCAUUCUGAUUUUGUAAAGUAUUGUAUGUAAGCUUUUAUCUCGGAAUUAUGUCUCAUCUAAAGGUGGGGAGAGGUAUUAGUUAUGCCUUCUCGUCUAUCCGCAUUAAGCCUGUCUGGCUUUAAGAGGACAAGCUGCUGGCCAGAUUUUGAUGAAACUUCACUGGACUGAUCAGUACUAAGCAUUGUGUUGUGUAUAUGGCUUGCAUGUUUCGUUUCGAUGCACUAAAUUGCAGCCAGAGCUAAAAAUAGAAAAAUCUUGUCGGCUUUCACAGGUUAAAACUACUUGACAGAUUUUGAUGAAACUUCACAGGAGUGAUCAGUACCAAGUAUAUUUUUGCAUAUCACCGACA